rnacentral:lncRNA from 1 species
UUUUGUUGUCAAGUUUGUCACAAUGGUCAUAGUUUUGGGGUAAAUUUAAGAACCAAAUUUAAUAUUACAUAAUCAUUAUUUCUUUGUUGAUUGCCUUGUUAGGUCAACUACUUACUAUCAAGUUCAUGGGACUGCACUAUUAUGGUAUGGGCUUCCAGAGAGAAAACUUUGAAAGUGGCAUAUUCCUAUAAUGUGUAUACAUAUUUAUUUAUUGUAGAAUCUCUUACAUGUAUUUUUAUUCGUUUGUGUUUGUAUUUCUAUAGGCAGUGAUGUGGAGUCUCCGUACUAUUGAGAAACGCAAAUUUAUAUGGCUGAGGACACCAAAAGCUGGAGGUACCCA